CCUGGCUUCAGAUGAACGCUGACAGAAUGCUUAACACAUGCAAGUCGACUGGAAUUCACCUUCGGGUGAUAGUACGGUGGCGGACGGGUGAGUAACGCGUAAAGAACUUGCCCUCUAGACUGGGACAACUGUUGGAAACGACAGCUAAUACCGGAUAUUAUGAGAACCUCGCAUGGGGAACUUAUGAAAGGCUAUAUGCGCUAGAGGAGAGCUUUGCGUGCCAUUAGGUAGUUGGUAGGGUAAUGGCCUACCAAGCCGACGAUGGCUAGCCGGCCUGAGAGGGUGAUCGGCCACAAGGGGACUGAGACACGGCCCUUACUCCUACGGGAGGCAGCAGUGGGGAAUAUUGGACAAUGGGCCACAAGCCUGAUCCAGCAAUUCUGUGUGCACGAUGAAGGUCUUCGGAUCGUAAAGUGCUUUCAGUAGGGAAGAAAAAAAUGACGGUACCUACAGAAGAAGCGACGGCUAAAUACGUGCCAGCAGCCGCGGUAAUACGUAUGUCGCAAGCGUUAUCCGGAAUUAUUGGGCGUAAAGCGCGUCUAGGCGGUCUUUUAAGUCUGAUGUUAAAAUGCGGGGCUCAACUCCGUAUUGCGUUGGAAACUGGAAGACUAGAGUAUCAGAGAGGUGGGCGGAACUACAAGUGUAGAGGUGAAAUUCGUAGAUAUUUGUAGGAAUGCCGAUUGGGAAGCCAGCUCACUGGAUGAAUACUGACGCUGAAGCGCGAAAGCGUGGGGAGCAAACGGGAUUAGAUACCCCGGUAGUCCACGCCGUAAACGAUGAUCACUAAGUGUGGGGGGUCGAACCUCCGUGCUCAAGCUAACGCGAUAAGUGAUCCGCCUGGGGAGUACGCACGCAAGUGUGAAACUCAAAGGAAUUGACGGGGACCCGCACAAGCGGUGGAGCAUGUGGUUUAAUUCGACGCAACGCGAGGAACCUUACCAGCCCUUGACAUCCUCAGAACUUAGCAGAGAUGCUUUGGUGCCACUUCGGUGGAACUGAGUGACAGGUGGUGCAUGGCUGUCGUCAGCUCGUGUCGUGAGAUGUUGGGUUAAGUCCCGCAACGAGCGCAACCCUUUCGUAUGUUACCAUCAUUAAGUUGG
rnacentral:rRNA from 1 species